rnacentral:rRNA from 1 species
UACGGGGGGAGCAAGCGUUGUUCGGAUUUACUGGGCGUAAAGGGCGCGUAGGCGGCCAGCACAAGUCAGUUGUGAAAUCUCCGAGCUUAACUCGGAAAGGUCAACUGAUACUGUGCGGCUAGAGUGCGGAAGGGGCAACUGGAAUUCUUGGUGUAGCGGUGAAAUGCGUAGAUAUCAGGAGGAACACCGAUGGCGAAGGCAGGUCUCUGGGCCACUACUGACGCUGAGAAGCGAAAGCAUGGGGAGCGAACAGG